GAGUCUGCGUUUCAUUAGCUAGUUGGUAGGGUAAUGGCCUACCAAGGCAACGAUGAGUAGCUGGUCUGAGAGGAUGAUCAGCCACACUGGAACUGAAACACGGUCCAGACUCCUACGGGAGGCAGCAGUGGGGAAUAUUGCGCAAUGGGCGAAAGCCUGACGCAGCAACGCCGUGUGAGGGAUGAAGGCUUUCGGGUCGUAAACCUCUGUCGGAAGGGAAGAACGGGCAAUGGUCUAAUAGGCCGUUGUUUUGACGGUACCUUUAGAGGAAGCACCGGCUAACUCCGUGCCAGCAGCCGCGGUAAUACGGAGGGUGCAAGCGUUAUUCGGAAUUACUGGGCGUAAAGCGCACGUAGGCGGCCUUGUAAGUCAGGGGUGAAAUCCCACGGCUCAACCGUGGAACUGCCUUUGAAACUGCAGGGCUUGAAUCCUGGAGAGGGUGGCGGAAUUCCUGGUGUAGGAGUGAAAUCCGUAGAUAUCAGGAGGAACACCGGUGGCGAAGGCGGCCACCUGGACAGGUAUUGACGCUGAGGUGCGAAAGUGUGGGGAGCAAACAGGAUUAGAUACCCUGGUAGUCCACACCGUAAACGAUGGAUACUGAUGCCGGAC
rnacentral:rRNA from 1 species